rnacentral:misc_RNA from 1 species
AACGCACAUUGCACCCUCUGGUAUUCCGGAGGGUAUGCCUGUUUGAGUGUCAUUAAUAUCUCAACCCAGACAGGUUUCACAACCUGCUCUGUUGCUUGGAUGUUGAAGGCUUGCUGGCUUUUUCAAGUCAGCUCCUUUUAAAUUCAUUAGCAGAAAUGAUAGGCAAAACUGGCUUCAGUUUGAUAAACUACUUUAUCUGUACUGCUGUCGCUAGUGAAAGAUACCUAACAUAUUUCAGCUUCCAAUUGUCCCAUGUGGGACUGUCUUCUUGAAGGCAUAACCAACUUGACACUUGACCUCAAAUCAGGUAGGACUACCCGCUGAACUUAA